rnacentral:rRNA from 1 species
CCUACGGGUGGCAGCAGUGGGGAAUAUUGGUCAAUGGGCGCAAGCCUGACCCAGCAACGCCGCGUGAAGGAAGAAGGCGUUCGGGUUGUAAACUUCCUUUUUCAGGGAAGCGUAGAAGACGUUACCUGACGAAUAAGCCACGGCUAACUACGUACCAGCAGCCGCGGGAAUACGUAGGUGGCAAGCGUUGUCCGGAUUUACUGGGUGUAAAGGGCGUGUAGCGGGUUUGACAAGUCAGAUGUGAAAUCCUGCGGCUUAACCGCAGAACUGCAUUUGAAACUGUUGAUCUUGAGUACUGGAGAGGCAGACGGAAUGCGGAGUGUAGCGGUGAAAUGCGUAGAUAUUAGGCGGAACACCAGUGGCGAAGGCGGUCUGCUGGACAGCAACUGACGGUGAGGCGCGAAAGCGUGGGGAGCGAACAGGAUUAGAUACCCUUGUAGUC